GUCCUUGUAGCUCAGUAGGUUAGAGCGCCAGAUUGUGGCUCUGGAGGUCGUCGGUUCAAAUCCGAUCAAGGACCCCA
rnacentral:tRNA from 1 species